GUCUUCCUGCUACCCAAAGCUCCACCAAAACUCAGAGGAACCAUCAAAACUGAGAACUAGCAGCCUUGCAGUCAGGUUUUUUUCAAGGGUUUGCACAGACACAGAGGCUUCUCAUCCCCUACCACCCAUACUCCCCUCUUCAUUUUCCUGGUGUCAGAGUUAGGAAGCCACACAUGAUGUUCCUUCUCUGCAAGACCUGGUGAACUGGCUGGCAGGUCGUCUGGUGAGAAGGGAUCUGUCCUGGGAUGCUGUGAAAAGGUGGGAGCUUCUGCCUGUUGUUUGCCACGGGAAAGGGAAGAUGUCUGCGUUCAGCUGCUGCUGAUACCAGGAACACCAGCUCAAACCCAGGAACACCAGCUCAAACCCAGGAACAGCAGCUCAAACCCAGGAACAGCAGCUCAAACCCAGGAACACCAGCUCAAACCCAGGAACACCAGCUCAAACCCAGGAACAGCAGCUCAAACCCAGGAACAGCAGCUCAAACCCAGGAACACCAGCUCAAACCCAGGAACAUCAGCUCAAACCCAGGAACAUCAGCUCAAACCCAGGAACAGCAGCUCAAACCCAGGAACAGCAGCUCAAACCCAGGGACAUCAGCUUGGGACGGUGCUGCUCCGAUGCUGCUGUGGCUGAAGGAGGCUUCACCCCGUGUCCUUGGCGGCCCAGGUGUGUUCACAGGGGUCCCCCAGCCUGAGGUCCCCGGGGUGCCCCGGUGCUGCCCAGCCACGGACACCCAGCUGUGGCACGGGAUGUGUGGGGCACAGGGGCUGGGAUGUGGUGCUGGGUGGUCUCUGUGGCUUUGCUGCAGCUCCUGGGGCCAGAACCCCAACAGCCUCCAGCUCUGCCGGGGCCGUCCCCACAUCCCGGCUCGCUGGACACACUCAAAGUUCACGGUGCUAUAAAUACCCGGAACAGGGCGCCAGUGCUCCCGGCCGGGUGGGGGGGCUGAGAAAACCCGAAGGGGUUUCGUUGCAAUUAACCCUGUGGGUGCACAAGUCCUCUCUGUGCGGUUUGAGAAAGAGGAAUCCUCCGAUUCAGAAUGUUUCUAAAGCCAGAAGAGUGCAGCAAACUCCUUCUGUGGGCUGAUUCCUGCUGGGAACAGCCCUGGGAUAGGUAGUGGGAUUGGAGGAGUGCAGGAGGCUGCAGGACAGCACAGGGAAUGGGUGGUUUGUGGCCAGGAACAUCCACAGUGUGACCUCCCAGCUUGGGCAGAUCCUCGUGCUGGGGACACGGUGAUGUGGGGCCAGCAUGGCUUGUGUUGUCCCCUGAAGCAGAGGCUGCCUGUGCACCUCUCACUGCCCUCAGAGCACAGCCUGGUGCUGCACAGCCCCACACCCUGCCCUGUACGGCCCCAUACAUGUCAGUCCUUUACCCCCGAGCCUGCCCCGUGUCCCUGGCCCCAUGUGCAGGUCUCACUCCCAGCAGAAGGGCUAAAACUUGUUCAAAAUCCCGGAGUGCCACAGAAAUGCCCUAAAUCAGGACAAGCUCCAUCGCUGGCUCAGGGACAACCCCAAAACGCGGAGUCCCCAGUGGUGUCAGGUCACCUGAGGCACAGCACAGUGCAGUGAGGUGUGAAGGGGCUCUCUCUGGAAAGCCAAACACAUGGGGAGACCCCCAUUACCCUACUCAAGGCUGUACAGAGCCCUUUCAUGGUGCCAAAUGUGUCUUUUUAAGCAUUUCCCUCACAAACUCUACUCUGCUGGGUUGAGGGGCAAGACAGUCUCCAAGGAAGAGCCUCUUCUUUUCCCCUUUCACCCUGUUCAGAGCACGGGAGAUGGAAAACUCAGAGCAAUGGCAGAGGACAAGCCUGCAGAGCAGAGCCUGAUGAGCUGUUUGUGACCUUGUGGCUCCUGCUGGGGCUGGACACAACUCAGUGCACACAUGGCUCAGGACCGAGCAAGGUCCUUGUCACCGAAGGUCUCCCAGCACCCAGGGCUGAUCCCCAGCUCCAGCGGGGCCGGGCUGUCCCGAGCACAGGGCCGGACAUCCCCAGGGUCUCGCAGGGGAAUCUCAUGGGCCUGCUCAGGUCACAGUGCCCAGCUGACCCUGCCACCAGAACAACCUCAUUUCAGCCUCGCAAAUGUCACCUUUCGUGUCCCUUUGGGCCAAGCAAAGGCACCUUCAUCACUUCACUCUCCAUCAUUUCCCUCUCCUCCCCAUCACCACCGCAGUUCCACCUUGGUGCUGCGGGAUGCCACAGUUCUUCCCGACACUUGACCAGAAUUUUGUGUUACUCAGGUCGUAUCUCCUCAUGCCCACAGGGUCCUGCCCCACGGCUGCGCCCUGUGCCCCGUCCCCCAUGCUCCCUGUGCUGGCUGCCCCAGGGCUGGUCCCUCCACGCCCCCACGGCCACCGCGUGUGGCAUCGCCGGAUUCCGUGCCCGGCACGGCACCGGAGCAGAGGAGCCGGAGCCGGAGGCACUAGGGGGAGAUAAAGGCCGGGACAUGCUGGGCCCUGCGCCCUCGCCAGCCCCUCCUGUCCCCUUGUCCCCAGGGCCACCCUGGUCCCGGCUGCUGGCGGGGACAAAGAGGAGAGCUGCAGGUUUCCGCCUGUCACAGUCCCGUUGCUUUGCGGGGUCUUUCCUGGCAUCUUCGGUCUCUGGGAAGCACCUCUGGCAACGAGAGGCCUUAUGGCAUUUACAUCUUCAUGCAGCAGGUAUAAAAGCAAGAAACCACCUUCUCCCACGUGCAAAGAGCACAGGGGCUCCCCGAAAACUCACCCAGGAGGAAGGAGAACAGCAUACAGCACCCAGACCAGGGGCCAGCAGGGAGGAGGGGUCUGGGGACCCAGCCUGGAAGCAGAGAGUGACACACACUGCUGAGCUGAGCUGGAAGCUCAGCCUGUCGUUGCUCCAACUUCCCUUUCCCAAUGCCCCUCAGGUGCACUUGGCAUUGGCACAGCCAUGACAGCCUUCACAGGACCCCAGCACCAGCAAACUGGGCACCUCCAGGGCUAAAACCAAUCCAGGGGACAUCUGGCUCUAGGCACCACCCCGAUAUCACACCAGCUCCUCUCCUCCCAUGGAUGUUCCCUUCUACAGGGGCUCCCUGCAGCCCCUCUCACCAGAGAUGGGAGGAUUUCAGAUGGGCAGAGUUUGGGGGAGGUCCCAGGAGACAAAGCCAAACCAGCAGGACCUGUCCCCAGCAGCUGUUUGUGCCCAGCUGGGUCACACAGGGCCCUGUGGGUGCAGCCCUGGCUCCCGUGUCAUGAAUUGGUGCCAGAUGCUGGGCGGGCACAGUGCGAGGGCAGCUCCGUGGGCAGGAGCCACGUGAGGGGGGCACUUCUCCCUUGUAUCUUCUAUGGAUUAGAAAGAAAAGUUACAUCUUACCCCGUUUUUCCAGUGUGACUGGCACAGAGUUAACCCAAAUACUACUGAUAAAGGUUUGUAUGUUGCCUGUGAUGCCAUCAAUCCAUAGUGCCCUUGGGACCUGGGCUCACCAGGCACAUCCCUGAGCUCCCCCUAAAAAACCCCCACAGCACCUGCCCCCAAACCACCAACCUACCCCAAACUUGUGUUUUCUCUCCCACUCUCCAGUUUGGUCACACCGUGGCACCGCUUCCCCUGCAGCCACAUCUCUGAUUCGCUCAUAUUCACAGUUAUUUACAGCUCCAGCUCCACAGUUCUCAAUACCCUCACUCUUGAACUUCCCAUCUGCCGGCGCUGGAGGGGAACAGGGCGGCUGGUAACGCAAUCGGGAUGUUGGCCUCGGACCAGGAGGCUGGAUGCAGAGGGAGGAAGGCAGAGGGGUGCCUGGGGCAGGGUGUCAUCUGAGCCCCUGCGGGAACAGGGUGUCUUUGCCUCGAUAUGAGCUGGCAAGAGCAAGAGGAGGGAAGGAGAUCCUCCGUCAGCGCUUUGCUAUGCACCACACUCCCUGUCCCCCACUCCCGGGACACACGGACUCACCGCUGUGGUGGCAGCACACCCAUACCCAGGGCUGCUCAUCCUGGCUCCUUGCUCCCUCCCAGGCCUGGAAAGUUUCACGGCCUCGUUACAAACACACGCUCAAAGAGCAGAGAUUGGGUGCGUCAGUGCUUUUCCCGUGCUGUGAGGCGGGGGAGGUGCACACGGGAGCACCCCAUGGCUCACCCCGUGUGCCGAGUGUGCUGACAGAGGCGGCUCUGACAUGAUGCUGUGGAUAUAAAAGAGCUGCAGAUUUGUGCUCAGCCCCCAGCACAGCCCCUAAACCUUUUGGGGGCUCUUGUGCAAGUCUGGGGUUUGCACUGUCUCUUAGCCAGUAGCAGAUACCCGUGGAUUUGCAGCAGUUUUACCUGGAAGUAAAGGCUUAUUUUUUCUACUAUUUUUCAAUAACAUUAAAUAAAGACAAAGGGAUUGCCUGGGAUUGCUUGUGGCACCCAGUGCUGUGACUGCAGCACAGCUUCCCCACUGUGAAACGCAUCCUGUGCCACCAUGGGACACCAGUCCAGGAUCUUGGGCUGCAAACAGGCAGGGAUUGGAGUUUGUUUCAGUUGUUUCCACACUGCUGUUUUGCUUUUAGCAAAUCAUUCCUAAGAUGGUGCCAUUCUGCUGCAUGUUCUACCCAUUCAAUUCCCAUCUCCCGGCUUGGACACAGCCUUUGAAAAAGGACACCUCCAGUGCACCCCCAGCACUAACCCAGCCCCUCUUCCCAAAGGCUCCCGCUCACAGGUGCCUCGUGCCAAGCCCAACGUGGUCACUUGUCUCAGAGUGUCGAGUACAAAGCAUAUGCAGGACAGAUGGGUAUGAGGCUUAUAAGAUAAUUAAGCAUGUUAAUGAAGUUCAUUUGCAUCUAGCUCUUAAAUUCCCAUAAACUCGGCGAAGCUGGGAAAUGAGAAUCGCUGCUCGACGCUACAAAGCAGCGAAACUUUAGUUACCAAAAGGAUAAUCACCAAGUCGAGACACAAAGCCAUCAAGGCCCAGCCGGUUGCAGCCCCCCAGGCCCCCAUGGCAGAGCUGUGACACUCGAUGCCACCGAUGCCACUGCAGCAGCACAGAGUGCUGAUGGGCUUUGCUGGACUGAAACAGCACAAAACCAGGGAGAGCAGGGGGAGUUAUUGCUCCAGGGAAAGACUUGACCCAGAGAUGGAGGAAAAGGUCAGAGUGGUGGUAAAAGGAAAGCCCAUGGCUGGUGUGGGGAGCCAGGUGAGAGCACCUCCUCUCCAUGGGCUGCCCCUGAAGCAGGACCAGGGCAGGGUCCUUCGGUGAAGCCUCAGCGAUGGCACAGCAGAGAGAGGCAGGUGGGUACCCCUCAGGCACAGAGGGAGUCCAGGGCUGUGACCAGAGAGAGCUGGAACUGCCCCAUGAAACUAGGGGAACAGCUGGAACUUGGGGAUUGCCAGGGAACACCCAGGAGAACAAGGGUAGGAGCUGAGAGGAGAUCUGCCCCACACUCGCCUUCCCCAGCACCAGAGCUGGGAGGGCACAGGGGGUCCCCGUGCCCAGCCAAGCCCAGAGGUCACCUGCGAGUUCUCAACUCCUCAGGAAAGCUGAAAUAUCACCUCCAGUUCAGCAAGGAGGGCACAAGCCAGGCAGUUUCCAGCCAUCCAUGGAUCACAGACUGGGAGACAGCUCCAGCUGCUGCAGCACCUCUCCAUCACUCCCGAGCUGAUGGUGGUUCCUCAGAAGCAGAGACCCCACGAGCAGCACAGCUGUUGUCCCCCAUUGUCCCAGAAAGCCUUUUGGGAACUGCUGUGAAACACAUCCAAGAGAUGUCUGGGCUUUGUAAGGAAAGUCCCCACGUGAACUAAUCAAGCACAGGGUGGAUCUUUGAAUACACCCAACACUGGUGUACAACACAUCCUGAACAAGAACCAAAGCACAGAGAGAGAAGAAACUUUAACAUGGGGUUACCCCGGACAAGACAACGCCAAACUGAACACAGGAAGGCAAGGUUUAUUUGAAAUACCUCGGUAAGAUUUAUUAAAAAUAUCCCUUGGCAGUUGACAAUCACCAUGAUCCAUAAUUGGAACCUAACUGGACAACAUUGGAACAGUUUUCGCCUAUAACAGAAGGUGAACACCCAGGAACACCACAGCAAGGCCUACACAUCCCUACUGGCAUCAAACACCUGGGCUGGAACUGAGGAGCACAGGGCAACGCCUGGCUGUGGCACCAAUCACACCACAGGCAUUACUGUAUGCUCUGAUACUUACCUGGGCUGUGGGAAAACCCAACUGUUUAAAAUACAGGGAAAAGAAUUAAUCAGAACCCAGAUUCCACCUCUCCAUGCUUCCAGGGGGACAAAGCUCUUGGUUUUGCUGCAGCUGAGGGAGAGCAUCAAAAUGGGAGGUGGGAGGUCUGGCUGGACCCAUCCCGAUGCUGUGGCUGCCCCAUGAGAAGGGUCCGGUGCCGCAGGACACGAUGGCAGUGGGUCACUGGUCAUCGACAUGGAGCAGGAUCCAGAGGAAACCUUCACAUCUUCCAGCUCAAACCCUGGCUGGGCAGGGGCUCAGGGCUUCAUUAGGGGCUUCAUCCCCCAGUGAAACCCCAUGAACACAUGGUGGAAGGCUUAGGAGAGAUCCUAAGGGAGGCAGGGGGUGGUUGGUGGGACGGACAGACAGACAGGAUUUGUUCUUUGGGUCAGAUUCCAAUUUUGGAAGCACCAAGGCUCCUCUUCUCAACCAACCACCCCCCCUCAGUCAGUCCUUGCUCUGUGGACACUCACUCCAGAAUAACUGUCUCACUCCCCUUUCCAAGCGGAUCGAGUGGAUCAGAGUGAGGCAUUGCUAUUCCAGAGCAAACCAUCGAUGCUCUCUGCUAAAGAGAAAAAUAACUACUUCAAAUUCAUCCCCCACUCUGGCCAACACAAGCUCCCUGGGGGGAAAAGCUCUGCUGACACCUCCUGCCACAGCUGGCAAUGGCCUCCGGUGGCUGCACUGCCCCUUCCCGACACUUCAGAGCUGCACUAAAACGAGGAAAAAUCAGGAAGGAGUCGUUUUCUCACCCAGCACUGGGAACAAGAAGGUCAUUUAUCACCAACUUCAUGUGACAAAUUCCUUUCACGUUUAAAACACGUCCUAGGUAUGUCCCUAAUAAAAAAUUAACUCGGUGGCUUCAUGAUUACCAAAGAAACAUUGUCAAAAGCCAGAUCCAAACCAAAGGGCUGAAAAACCUUCUGUUCCAAACUGUUCCUCUUCCAGACCAUGCGCAAAGGGCUGCAGCUGAAGUGGGGCUGGAGCAAAAAUACAAAAGCAAACCGAUUUGGAGUUGACAUAGUGUAUUGUGAAUUACUUCUCAGCUUUUCUACAUCUAAGAGAGCGUGAAAUGAGCGUCCGUGCAGUGAAACAGUUCAAUAUACAACUGGUUACAGAGCUGCAGGUAAUACGUUGGAUCUAUGUACACACAACGCUUAAUAUUUCACAGAUACAACUUUUUUCCAUCUCGGUUUUGUCCACAAAGCAUUGGCAGAGUAUUUACAGCGAGGCCUCUGUGAGGAAGCCCCAUCCCCUGUCACAGCCCCAUCCGAAGCUGCUCGAGCAGUGGGUGUAAACAGAGCGGUUCCCUCUUCCUGCAAGGGAGGGACAAGGUGGGGAACACGGGCUGAGCUGGGCAGGAGGGAAGAAAUGAUGUCCAGCUAACCUGGAGGCUUCAAAACAGUUUGAUUUGCCUUUUUAAAAAUUUGCAACUGGAAACUGUUCUUGGUUAAUUUUCAUUUCCUAAUUCAGUAACGUUUCGAUGACGUUCUCAGUUAGUGCUUUCUACCCGUCUGUAUUUCUGUUCAUCCCCACGUGUGCCUGUGUGAGGUCAGGCAGUGCUGAAGCCUUGGGUCAGCACCGAGGCAGCUCCUCAAGGAAGCAGGGGAUGCUCAAGGAAACAAGGGAAUGCUCAGGGGUCUGUGCUCGCUCCCAGACCCACCCCCUGGCAAACCAAAGCCAACCCUGGUUUCAGCUGAUUACUCCAAAAAUAAUCUCUCUCAGGCUGUUUGUAAUCAGGUGCUGCCACCCUCGAUGGCUCAUACAGGGGGAGGUGUCACUGUGUGGACGGAGGGUGGGCAGACCCAUCCCCAUCCCAUCCCCAUCCCCACCCUCAUCCCUCGCCCCAGUCCAACCCCCAUCCCCGGCCAGCCAUGGUCAGACAGCAGCGCUCCGAUUUCCAGCGCAGGGUCUCAGUAACCAGCUGAAAUUUGCUCCCACGAGAAAAGCAAACCAACAGGGAGGAGGGAAGGUGCAUUUACAAAGGUGUCCACGGACUGGCUGCACGGAGCAGGCAGUGGGAUGUUGUCCUAGAGCAAACCUUCUGUAUUCGUGCUUAAUUGGAUGCUGCUACUUUUGGUCUGUGUUUGGCCCAGCCACCUGUGAGAGUCUGUUCUUUUCCUACCAGGUUAUAAGAAAACAAGCACUGAUAAACAAGAACUCCGUCCUUGAAGGAGGCAUCUCAUAUAAACUGAAAUUAAUUGGUGACUGGCUAUUGGCCAAUGGCCCUCCAAGGGCAUUUGAAGGAGGAAGCGAAGAGGAGGAGGAUGAAGCCCCCAGACUCAUCUAGGAAAGACCCCCCGAGGUGCAGCACACAGGCACAGGGGAAUUCCAGUUACACAGGAGUGCACAGGAGGGGCACCACCUACACCACAGGGGGGAGGGACUGAGGGCCUCUGGCUGGGCAGUGCUGGCCACACCUGCCCAGGUAGACAUCACAGGUUAAUCGUAUGAAAAGCAGAGAGCUCGUGUUGGGAGCAAACUCAAGCUUCACACAGAGGACAACGUUGCCUGUUGUGGGGACACCCACUACUGUGUGAGCCUGCCGACACCCCGAGGAUGCAGCCUGUGCUAUGGGGAACUCUGAGCAUUCUGGGGUCAGUGACACAACCCUGUAAGUAACACCUGAGUCAGUGGGGGGUUGUACUGAGGGCUUAUUUCCCUCCUCUUUCCUCUCUCUCGUGUUCUCCUUUUGUUGGCCACUUCUUUGUAAUAAAUAUUGUUUUGUCGAGCUUUCAGCAGUGUGGUGGUUUCGGUUUCAGCAUUCUCCCAGCUGUGUAAUUUGGUGAUGAGGGUGGGAUGCUGAACAUGAAACACCCCGUUGCUGGGGAAAAAGUGGACUCUGCAAGUAGAGUGCAUAGCUCGUAGAGUUGUGCCACUGAUUGUGGAAAACAAGCAGGACCCGCCGGUGGAGUGCAUAGCUUGCAGGGUGCGCUGCUGUUUGGGGUUUUUUUGUGGAAAAAGUGGGACCCACACAGUCUGUGGGGCUGCUGCUUAUUGCUGGGGGGGGCAGGGUAGAGAGUGUAGCUGUCACCUCCUGUUUUUGUUGUUCUCAUGCGAGCUGUGUUGUCUGUCCGUUGUCAGUGUGAGCUCGGGGUGUUGGUAACGGCACCGUAAUCCCUUAUCUGUUAGACGGGGUUUUUCCUGGACCCCACAGUGAUGGUGUGUGCAGGGUCGGCUGGUUGCUGCCCGACGAGACUCUUCCUGAGUCUUUCCUGACUCUUCCUGUGUGAGCGUGUUGGGGGCUGUGGGUGGAGGAACCAGCAUGAGUUUGUUAGUAACAGUGUCGAAACCCUGGGAUGGGGGUCUGGAAGGUGCCCCUCCUGUUGAGCAUCCCGGGUGGAUGCAGGAGCCUUGGAAUACGCUCUGGGAUCGUUUAGAAGCCACACCAGGGCCAGGCCACUGCGCAGGAGCCGCAGGGAGGGAGGUGGCCCAGUGGUGGCUGCAGCAGCAGGAAAGAAGAAAAAAAACUCUCUGAGUCUCCAAGCCCUCCAACAUGUUGGGUCUGAAUCUCAACUACACAACAGGAGGAGAGCUUGGAUGCAAAGAACAGAAAAAAGAAAGGGGAGAACUUGGAUGCAAAAAAAAAGAGAAAAGGGGGGAGAGCUUGGACACAUGAAUCCUCUGAAGAGUGGACUCACAGCGUUGGAACCAUCGAAUCUAUUUGAUAAUUUAAGUGUCUACAACUUUGGUUUUGGUAACUUUAAAAAAGUGAAAUUAUUUACAUAGUGUAUUUUGUGCUUUAAAGCAACAAACACCAAGUCCUAGGUGCAUGUGUACAAUUAGAUGCCCUCACACACAUCCCAUAGUCAAGAUUUAAAGAACGUUAAGAAUAAUAAAAUUGAUGAAUGAAAAAUAAAAAAGGUUAAAACUUCAGAUUGAUUGAUUGAUUUAUGCCUGUGUGAGGGAUCUGAGUCGUGUUUGAGACUCUGCUGUAGUGGGUCUGUGGUUGUGUUUGUCAAUGUGGUAUGGGGAAAAUAUUCUAUGGUUUUACUGCUGGGAACUUGACUUUUGGAAAAGAUACAACGGAGCCGUUGUUGGCACGAGGUUGGUAUCAUAAGCUGUUGUGAUUUCAGUCACACGUGAGCUGGUGUCACCACGGGAAAACACCACUCAGGUGAGGAGAAUGAGACCACACUGCUUUGAUCCACGGGACACCCUGAAGGUGCAUCACCUGACUGAGUGGGGGGUUGUACUGAGGGCUUAUUUCCCUCCUCUCUCCUCUCUCUCAGGUUCUAGUUUCGUUGGCCACUUCUUUGUAAUAAAUAUUGUUUUGUUGAGCUUUCA